CGGCGGACGGGUGAGUAAUGCCUAGAAUCUGCCUGAUAUGGGGGAUAACGUUCGGAAACGGACGCUAAUACCGCAUACGUCCUACGGGAGAAAGCAAGGGACCUUCAGGCCUUGCGCUAUCACAUGAGCCUAGGUCGGAUUACCUAGUUGGUGAGGUAAUGGCUCACCAAGGCGACGAUCCGUAACUGGUCUGAGAGGAUGAUCAGUCACACUGGAACUGAGACACGGUCCAGACUCCUACGGGAGGCAGCAGUGGGGAAUAUUGGACAAUGGGCGAAAGCCUGAUCCAGCCAUGCCGCGUGUGUGAAGAAGGUCUUCGGAUUGUAAAGCACUUUAAGUUGGGAGGAAGGGCAUUAACCUAAUACGUUAGUGUUUUGACGUUACCGACAGAAUAAGCACCGGCUAACUCUGUGCCAGCACCCGCGGUAAUACAGAGGGUGCAAGCGUUAAUCGGAAUUACUGGGCGUAAAGCGCGCGUAGGUGGUUUGUUAACUUGGAUGUGAAAUCCCCGGGCUCAACCUGGGAACUGCAUUCAAAACUGACUGACUAGAGUAUGGUAGAGGGUGGUGGAAUUUCCUGUGUAGCGGUGAAAUGCAUAUAUAUAGGAAUGAACACCAGUGGCGAAGGCGACCACCUGGACUAAUACUGACACUGACGUGCAAAAGCGUGGGGAGCAAACACGAUUAGAUACCCUGGUAGUCCUCGUCCGUAAACGAUGUCAACUAGCCGUUGGAAUUCGUGAGCUUUUAGUGACGCAUGCUCACGCAUUAAGCUUGACCGUCCUGGCGGCAGUGACGG
rnacentral:rRNA from 1 species